GCUAAUACCGGAUGCUUGUUUGAACCGCAUGGUUCAAACAUAAAAGGUGGCUUCGGCUACCACUUACAGAUGGACCCGCGGCGCAUUAGCUAGUUGGUGAGGUAACGGCUCACCAAGGCAACGAUGCGUAGCCGACCUGAGAGGGUGAUCGGCCACACUGGGACUGAGACACGGCCCAGACUCCUACGGGAGGCAGCAGUAGGGAAUCUUCCGCAAUGGACGAAAGUCUGACGGAGCAACGCCGCGUGAGUGAUGAAGGUUUUCGGAUCGUAAAGCUCUGUUGUUAGGGAAGAACAAGUACCGUUCGAAUAGGGCGGUACCUUGACGGUACCUAACCAGAAAGCCACGGCUAACUACGUGCCAGCAGCCGCGGUAAUACGUAGGUGGCAAGCGUUGUCCGGAAUUAUUGGGCGUAAAGGGCUCGCAGGCGGUUCCUUAAGUCUGAUGUGAAAGCCCCCGGCUCAACCGGGGAGGGUCAUUGGAAACUGGGGAACUUGAGUGCAGAAGAGGAGAGUGGAAUUCCACGUGUAGCGGUGAAAUGCGUAGAGAUGUGGAGGAACACCAGUGGCGAAGGCGACUCUCUGGUCUGUAACUGACGCUGAGGAGCGAAAGCGUGGGGAGCGAACAGGAUUAGAUACCCUGGUAGUCCACGCCGUAAACGAUGAGUGCUAAGUGUUAGGGGGUUUCCGCCCCUUAGUGCUGCAGCUAACGCAU
rnacentral:rRNA from 1 species